GCAGGUGUAGUUUAAUGGUAGAGCCUCAGCCUUCCAAGCUGAUGACGUGGGUUCGAUUCCCAUCACCUGCUCCA
rnacentral:tRNA from 1 species